rnacentral:rRNA from 1 species
AGCGAACGCUGGCGGCAGGCUUAACACAUGCAAGUCGAGCGGGCGUAGCAAUACGUCAGCGGCAGACGGGUGAGUAACGCGUGGGAACAUACCUUUUGGUUCGGAACAACACAGGGAAACUUGUGCUAAUACCGGAUAAGCCCUUACGGGGAAAGAUUUAUCGCCGAAAGAUUGGCCCGCGUCUGAUUAGCUAGUUGGUGAGGUAACGGCUCACCAAGGCGACGAUCAGUAGCUGGUCNGAGAGGAUGAUCAGCCACAUUGGGACUGAGACACGGCCCAAACUCCUACGGGAGGCAGCAGUGGGGAAUAUUGGACAAUGGGCGCAAGCCUGAUCCAGCCAUGCCGCGUGAGUGAUGAAGGCCCUAGGGUUGUAAAGCUCUUUUGUGCGGGAAGAUAAUGACGGUACCGCAAGAAUAAGCCCCGGCUAACUUCGUGCCAGCAGCCGCCGCGGUAAU